AGUAACUCCAAUUACAGAUGACCGCUGCUUGAGACUUGGAACUUAGAAACGGUGUAUUGACGACUUCCAGUACUGUCAGGUUCAGAGGUUAGGAGAGAAGGCCCUACAGGCGAAGAGAGCUUCUGUAACUGGACAGAAAUGAAAGCUAUGGGAACACAGCAAAAGAUGUCCUGGCACCAGAAAUACCAGACUGGGGGCCCUCAGUGAAGUCCCUCUGCAAUGUGUGAGAGAACUCCAGUCUUCUAAGGAAUCGAUUUCGAAUUGUUGAGUUUAUGGCAUCUGUGUCGUAUCGCUGAACAGACUAGGAGUACAGAAGAUUGUGUCUGUGGAAUCUGACCUAGGGUCACACUGAACUUCCAAGGAACAUUGCACAUGAGUUAUCUUAAAGAAAAGUUCAUCCAGAGAUUUUUCUACAGGAGUGUGGAUGUGCAUUCCAGGUUUGAUGUCCUCACUAACCAGGGACCGCUGCUUCCUCACUUUGACAAUCAAGACUUGUCACCAUUUUUUGCUGCCCUUGUCCUCUACAUUUAUUGUAGCUGGAACAAAGACCGAGCUGAGGGUUUAGUUAAAGUGAUGGUACA